rnacentral:rRNA from 1 species
UGCUUUACACAUGCAAGUCGAACGGUAACGCGGGGGCAACCCUGGCGACGAGUGGCGAACGGGUGAGUAAUAUAUCGGAACGUGCCUUAGAGUGGGGGAUAACGCAGCGAAAGUUGCGCUAAUACCGCAUACGAUCUUAGGAUGAAAGCGGGGGAUCGUAAGACCUCGCGCUCUGAGAGUGGCCGAUAUCUGAUUAGCUAGUUGGUAGGGUAAAGGCCUACCAAGGCAACAAUCAGUAGCUGGUCUGAGAGGACGAUCAGCCACACUGGGACUGAGACACGGCCCAGACUCCUACGGGAGGCAGCAGUGGGGAAUUUUGGACAAUGGGGGAAACCCUGAUCCAGCAAUGCCGCGUGAGUGAAGAAGGCCUUCGGGUUGUAAAGCUC